GAUGAAGAACGUAGCGAAAUGCGAUACGUAAUGUGAAUUGCAGAAUUCAGUGAAUCAUCGAGUCUUUGAACGCACAUUGCGCCCCCUGGUAUUCCGGGGGGCAUGCCUGUCCGAGCGUCAUUGCUGCCCUCAAGCACGGCUUGUGUGUUGGGCCCCGUCCUCCGAUCCCGGGGGACGGGCCCGAAAGGCAGCGGCGGCACCGCGUCCGGUCCUCGAGCGUAUGGGGCUUUGUCACCCGCUCUGUAGGCCCGGCCGGCGCUUGCCGAUCAACCCAAAUUUUUAUCCAGGUUGACCUCGGAUCAGGUAGGGAUACCCGCUGAACUUAAGCAUAUCAAUAACGGAGGA
rnacentral:misc_RNA from 1 species